rnacentral:sRNA from 1 species
UGACCAACAAAAGUUAUACAUCUACAGGUGUGUCAUUACACACAGAGAAGGUUGUGGCUUAUAUUUGUCCUAGAGCCAGUUCCAGAUCAACACACCUAACUCAGCUUGUGGCCAACAGUGAAACAAGUAAAAGUAGUCAAGACCAAGAUCUUAGUAAAUAUUUUCACAUCAAAUAAAUCAAUGUUAUUCAAGUGACUGGAUACUUGUCUGAAUACAUUGUCAAAGUAAACAAGAUACAAAUGAGCCACAUUUUUCUUAAUUUUUAGAAGUAUACAUUUUGAAAAGUUUUUUUUCAGUUUUAUCCAACUUUUAAGAACUGGGACUAGAUUAAUAAAGUUUUAUAAUCAAGUA